rnacentral:rRNA from 1 species
ACACCGGCGGCCCGAGUGGUGAUCGUGAUUAUUGGGUCUAAAGGGUCCGUAGCCGGUUUGGUCAGUCCUCCGGGAAAUCUGAUAGCUCAACUAUUAGGCUUUCGGGGGAUACUGCCAGACUUGGAACCGGGAGAGGUAAGAGGUACUACAGGGGUAGGAGUGAACUCUUGUAAUCCCUGUGGGACCACCUGUGGCGAAGGCGUCUUACCAGAACGGGUUCGACGGUGAGGGACGAAAGCUGGGGGCACGAACCGGAUUAGAUACCCGGGUAGUCCCAGCCGUAAACGAUGCUCGCUAGGUGUCAGGCAUGGCGCGACCGUGUCUGGUGCCGCAGGGAAGCCGUGAAGCGAGCCACCUGGGAAGUACGGCCGCAAGGCUGAAACUUAAAGGAAUUGACGGGG